rnacentral:rRNA from 1 species
CGAACGGAAAGGCCCUGCUUGCAGGGUACUCGAGUGGCGAACGGGUGAGUAACACGUGGGUGAUCUGCCCUGCACUUCGGGAUAAGCCUGGGAAACUGGGUCUAAUACCGGAUAGGAGCCAUUUUUAGUGUGAUGGUUGGAAAGUUUUUUCGGUGUAUGAUGAGCUCGCGGCCUAUCAGCUUGUUGGUGGGGUAAUGGCCUACCAAGGCGGCGACGGGUAGCCGGCCUGAGAGGAUGGACGGCCACAUUGGGACUGAGAUACGGCCCAGACUCCUACGGGAGGCAGCAGUGGGGAAUAUUGCACAAUGGGCGCAAGCCUGAUGCAGCGGCGCCGCGUGGGGGAUGACGGCCUUCGGGUUGUAAACUCCUUUCGCUAGGGACGAAGCUUUUUGUGACGGUACCUAGAUAAGAAGCACCGGCUAACUACGUGCCAGCAGCCGCGGUAAUACGUAGGGUGCGAGCGUUGUCCGGAAUUACUGGGCGUAAAGGGCUCGUAGGUGGUUUGUCGCGUCGUCUGUGAAAUUCCGGGGCUUAACUCCGGGCGUGCAGGCGAUACGGGCAUAACUUGAGUACUGUAGGGGUAACUGGAAUUCCUGGUGUAGCGGUGAAAUGCGCAGAUAUCAGGAGGAACACCGAUGGCGAAGGCAGGUUACUGGGCAGUUACUGACGCUGAGGAGCG